GAUGAACGCUGGCGGCGUGCCUAAUACAUGCAAGUCGAGCGAAUGGAUUAAGAGCUUGCUCUUAUGAAGUUAGCGGCGGACGGGUGAGUAACACGUGGGUAACCUGCCCAUAAGACUGGGAUAACUCCGGGAAACCGGGGCUAAUACCGGAUAACAUUUUGAACCGCAUGGUUCGAAAUUGAAAGGCGGCUUCGGCUGUCACUUAUGGAUGGACCCGCGUCGCAUUAGCUAGUUGGUGAGGUCACGGCUCACCAAGGCAACGAUGCGUAGCCGACCGUGGGGGGAGAUCGGCCACACGGGGACGGAGACGCGGCCCAGACUCCUACGGGAGGCAGCAGUAGGGAAUCUUCCGCAAUGGACGAAAGUCUGACGGAGCAACGCCGCGUGAGUGAUGAAGGCUUUCGGGUCGUAAAACUCUGUUGUUAGGGAAGAACAAGUGCUAGUUGAAUAAGCUGGCACCUUGACGGUACCUAACCAGAAAGCCACGGCUAACUACGUGCCAGCCGCCGCGGUAA
rnacentral:rRNA from 1 species